AAUAUAUCAGUCCUAUUAUUAUUAUUAUUAUUAUUAUUAUUAUUAUUAUAUAUUUAAACAAUUAAAAAUUAAUGAAAUUAAUAUAUAAUUGAUAAAAAAUGAGAGAUUGUGCACUCUCGAAUGGUGGGAAAAAGAAAGAAAAAAUAAAUUAAAUCUCGUUAGGAAUUUAAUAUUGCGAAUGCGCUGGUAUUUGAACCCCUUUCCACACAACUAAUGUCUGUUGUAAAAUUUCUAUCACUGAAAUUUCAAUUGGAGAAAUACAAUAAUUAGUGAUCGUAAUGAUUUGGAUAAAAAAGGAAUGGUGAAAGAAACAGGAAACUAAUUAGUACUUAAGUCAAUCCAGUUAAUGAGUAAGAUUUUCAAAUAUUUCUUUAGAAUAUUCAUAUAAAAUAAACUCAUAAUGUUCUUUCUAAAAAAAAAAAAGAAAAAAAAAAAUAUAGAAAGGGAGAGAAAAACACUUCAGAUACAAAAGGAUUUAAAAUCAAUAAAAAUGAAAAUGAGGUUACUUUACGCAGAUAAAAAUUCCCUAGAAAAACUGGUAAUGAAAUAUAAAAAAUAGAGAGAAUUAUUUCGUUAAUAUCGAAAAUGAAAGCAAUAAGAAAGUUUAUCUUUAUAAGAGAAAGAACAAUUUGAGUUUUUCAGUGUACAUAAAUCAAAAUUCUAAUUUUUAACUUAACAUGUUAAGUAGUAAAUUAUAAUGUCUAAUGGAUCAAAGAUUGUGCGAAAUGGUUAUAAUCCCGAAAUCCAAUAGUGCUAAUAAUGGCUGUGAUAUGGAAUAAGAAAAAAAUUAAUGAGAGAAAUGAACGAAAAAAAGUGAAGUAUCCAGGAUAUAUAACGGAUAAUAUGCUCUUUUUUUUCGCUUUUUUGCUGUUUUCUUCUUUCUUAUCUUCUUCUUGCAACAAUAAAAUUUUGUUUAAUUCUUAUCUUAAAAGCUUGAAAAAGAUUUUUACAGUUGACAUCAGAGCGAUAAAAUUGGGGAGACAGAGAAUAAAUUCUCGGUUGAAAAUGCCUGCGACAUUCCCAAUAAUAUAUUCAUCGUAUUUUUCUCUUUCUUCUUUAGAAAUCAAUAUUUAAAAGAAAAAAAAAGUUUUCAAAAGACACAUUCUAUGAUCGAUAUUUUACUGUAAUAAAUCGAUCUCAUUUUAGCGAGAAAUCUGAUUCUAGCAUUUAAAAUAAAUAAAUAAUUGACAAGUUGCAGAGUGAACCGGAAAUAACAUUAUCUAUUCAAUAAGAAGAUGAUUCAUUAUAUUGAAACCAAUCAUAUAAUUACCGAAUAUAAUUUUUUAUUUAUAAAUAUUAUAUUUAUAAUAUUUAUAAAAUUUUUUUGAAGGAAAAAAAAAUGCGGUUCGUAACAUAACCUAAUUAAGCGUUUCUUAUUAUUUCCUGUUUACUCUGUGUAUUAAUAAAGAAACACGUAUACAUACUAUAUAAUAAAAUAUAUUAUAUUGAUAUAGUAGAAAAUUAUGAUUAUGUACAUGUUGUAUGGAUAAGCUAAAUAACAAUUGUACGAACAUUACCAUUUAAACGUGUUCAAUGCGUGUAAUACGGAAUGUGUGAAGUUAUAUUGAGAAACUGGCCUAAUAAUACACAUGACUUUUGUGCUGAUGAUUUCAUUUAUUCAUGGUUCCAAUAUCAUCAUAUCCAAAAAAAAGAGAAAAUCAUACGAAAAUCAAUAAGGGAACCAUCGUCUUCAUCAGGACAAAAUAACAUCAGGAACAAAAUAUAUUUGUUCAAAACUUCUAUCAAAUACGUCCCUAUAUAAGUAUCUCAUACCUUUCUUAUCCUUGUUGCUAUAGGGAUCUGAGUGAUUCUGUAGACAGUCAUUAAAUUUGAUUAAAAUAAUUAGAAAUCAAUAAUCAA